ACAUGCCUACAACAUAGCGUUAAUGCAAAAAAUCCCGCUAGAACUUCGUAGUUAAGCACUCUCAGGCUAGAGUAGUACUGGGAUGGGUGACCGCCCGAGAAGUCCUAGUGUUUUACAUGCC
rfam:Picea glauca, whole genome shotgun sequence.